GUGGGAAUAGCUUAGUGGUAGAGCACAUCCUUAGCAUGCCUGAAGUCCUGGGUUCAAUCUCCAGUACCUCCA
rnacentral:tRNA from 1 species